rnacentral:rRNA from 1 species
UACAGAGGGGGCAAGCGUUGUUCGGAAUUACUGGGCGUAAAGGGCGCGUAGGCGGCCGCCUAAGUCAGACGUGAAAUCCCUCGGCUCAACCGGGGAACUGCGUCUGAUACUGGGUGGCUUGAAUCCGGGAGAGGGAUGCGGAAUUCCAGGUGUAGCGGUGAAAUGCGUAGAUAUCUGGAGGAACACCGGUGGCGAAGGCGGCAUCCUGGACCGGCAUUGACGCUGAGGCGCGAAAGCCAGGGGAGCAAAGCGGG